GAAUGUGAUGAGCAUGGCUGAAGAAGAAAAGCAUGGCUGCAGUUAUAUUUUUGGGAUGUAUUUCUUUGUCAGUCAUUUCUCAAGCGAUUCCACCACAGAACGGAAGAUUGAAUUGUGUCUCAGUUGCGGUGAGCGAUGCGCAACACACGGAGCGAGCGACGGCACACCGGACAGCCCCAAAGCUGACCGGGGAGGCAGCGGUACAUCCUGUGACGAAGGGACACGAUGAGAAGAAAAUGGGACGGGACAGGACGGGACAGGACAGGACAGGACAACAAAAGUGCAGUCAACUCGGAAGUGGCAAUGCAGUGUCAGUUUCCCAUGCCUCAUCUAGAGCAUUCUAAGUAACAUUAUAAUUUGAACAUAUUUCAUACUUGUUUUAAAAAAAGGGGAGAAUAAUUUUGAACUUCAUAUAAAAAUAUUAAAAAUUAUACAAACGAGAGAUAUACAGUAUAAGUCCUCGUCGUCUAUUGUCACAUGCUGUCACGUGUUUUUUGUUUUGUUUUUUUCCCAUAUAAAUGAAACACAUUCAACAAGUUAAAACUCCAUUUGACUCAAACUCUGGCCAGUGUAUGAAUAAUGGUUUUCUUAUUUUUGUAUUUCUGCGUGAGCAUGUGUGCGUGCGUGCGUGCGUGCGCGCGUGUGUGUCUGUGCCAUCAAGUCGCCACUAGGCUUCUUUUAAUCCCAGGUCAUUGAAGUCUGCUAAAAUACGAGGCCACAGAAUGUAAACAGAGCCUUAUUAAGACUGCUGCUCUGCUGAAGUAAUAUCACCCAGUGACCUUCAGGCACGAAUUGAGCUCAUUAGAUAAAAUUAUAAUCAACAUUGUUCAAUAGGUCUUGAUAGGUUUGAUUUUUAAUUGACCUCCAGAGUUAGUCACUUCACACUGUGCUGAGAUAAAACCGUCAAAACAGUUUAAAUGGGCGAACUUUAGGAAUGGAUGACUGAGCAUUAAUGAAGACUAACAGCACUCGUGCAUGUAUUGAAAUCCUUUGGAAUGCUGUCACCGGCACCAAUUUUGUCAUGCACUGAUGAUGUA